AUUGAACGCUGGCGGCAUGCCUAACACAUGCAAGUCGAGCGGAAGAAGGCUGCUUGCUGCUGGCUUGAGCGGCGGACGGGUGAGUAAUGCCUAGGAAUCUGCCCGUUCGCUGGGGAUUACGCCCGGAAACCGGCGCUUAUACCCCAUACGUCCUGACCGUGAAGGUGGGGGAGCUUCGAGCCUCACCCUUUUGGUUUAGGCUCGGUCGGUUUCGCUUGGUGGUGGGGGUAAGGCCUACCCAGGCGACGAUCGGUAACUGGUCUGAGAGGAUGAUCCGCCACACUGGAACUGAGACACGGUCCAGGCUCCUACGGGAGGCAGCAGUGGGGAAUGUUGGACAGUAGGGGAAAACCUGAUCCAGCGAUGCGGCGUGUGUGAAGAAGGUCUUCGGAUUGUAAAGCACGUUUAGUUGGGAGGAAGGGCAGUAAGCUAAGACCAAGCUUUUGUGACGGUACCAGCAGAAUAAGCACCGGCUAACUACGUG
rnacentral:rRNA from 1 species